CUCGUAGUUGAAUUUCGGGAUCAAUAUAACGGUCAUGCCGUUGGUAUGCACUGUUAUAAUUGAUUUCUCACCUUCUAAAGAACCGUAAUGCCAUUAAUUUGGUGUCACGGGGAAUUAGGACUGUUACCUUGAAAAAAUUAGAGUGUUUAAAGCAGGCUAACGCUUGAAUACAUUAGCAUGGAAUAAUGAAAUAGGACGUUCGAUCUUAUUUUGUUGGUUUCUAAGAUUGACGUAAUGAUUAAUAGGGAUAGUUGGGGACAUUAGUAUUCAAUUGUCAGAGGUGAAAUUCUUGGAUUUAUUGAAGACUAACUACUGCGAAAGCAUUUGCCAAGGAUGUUUUCAUUAAUCAGUGAACGAAAGUUAGGGGAUCGAAGACGAUCAGAUACCGUCGUAGUCUUAACCAUAAACUAUGCCGACUAGGGAUCGGACGGGAUUCUUUUUUGACCCGUUCGGCGCCUUACGGGAAAC
rnacentral:rRNA from 2 species